rnacentral:rRNA from 1 species
CCUACGGGUGGCAGCAGUGAGGAAUAUUGGUCAAUGGGCGCGAGCCUGAACCAGCCAAGUCGCGUGAGGGAAGACGGUCCUAUGGAUUGUAAACCUCUUUUGUCGGGGAGCAAAAGACGCCACGCGUGGCGUUCCGAGAGUACCCGAAGAAAAAGCAUCGGCUAACUCCGUGCCAGCAGCCGCGGUAAUACGGAGGAUGCGAGCGUUAUCCGGAUUUAUUGGGUUUAAAGGGUGCGCAGGCGGAAGAUCAAGUCAGCGGUAAAAUUGAGAGGCUCAACCUCUUCGAGCCGUUGAAACUGGUGUUCUUGAGUGAGUGAGAAGGAUGCGGAAUACGUGGUGUAGCGGUGAAAUGCAUAGAUAUCACGCAGAACUCCGAUUGCGAAGGCAGCAUACCGGCGCUCAACUGACGCUCAUGCACGAAAGUGUGGGUAUCGAACAGGAUUAGAUACCCCUGUAGUC